rnacentral:rRNA from 1 species
GAAGUUUGUCUGAGAGAGACAGCGAGCGAAGUGGCAAGGGGUUGUUAGGGAGCAGCUGCCCCCGCCGCCGGUCCGUCUAGGCCACGAAGGGACCAGCUGCUGUCGAUGAGGGUGCCGUGGACGAGGGACGGAGCAGGGGAAGAUGAGGCCGUAGGUACAGAGAACCCCGGCAGGGGUCCCGUUGUAGUGCGACGCGUAGCAGCAGUCGCUGGCCCGGUGGCGACGGCGGUGCCAGAGGAGGAGGGACCACCGGCGCCCGCCAGGCGGGCGAGUCGACGUAUAAGAUCUAGACCUCCGUUGGACCAUGACCAGAUCACGCGGCACUACGACGGUGCCAGAGGAGGGGCCACGAGGAUCUAGGUUAUUAUAGAGUGGCCUCCGUUCGGCCACCACGAGCUAGAGGAGCGGAGGAAGUGGAGCGUCCUAGUCGUCGAUCCAAACUAGAGAGGGUCGUGUUCUUCGAGCUACUCGUUAUUCGUGAUCAUUACCUCCGUCUCCGUUAUCGAAAAGACAAUACACGGUAGUUCAUCGUUUUCAACUACGUUACACUAAUAAAACCAGGAAGUAUUAAUCAAAACGUACUCUACAUGGCUUUUACUAGGAACGUACGAUACAAUGUGAACUAUUCAAUACAUACACACAGAGAAGACAACACAAACCAGGCGCUAGUACGUUAAACUUUACAUACAAAUCAAUACUAAAGUUCACCUAUCUAAUUACAAGAGUACAUGAGAUCAUAACCACUACUAGAAGUGUAUGAAAAUCACUGAUCGUACGAGUUUACAUACCUAAAGAACGUACCAGGCACUACAUCAUCUUCGAUGAUUACUUUAGUUAUAUGUACCUUAGAGCAUAUCAUGUAUACAUACACGCCAAAACACAUUUGGAUUCUCCUCUCCCCGUGAGCAUGUCCAAACUUUUUAACAGAAUAAAUACUUCGUGUUGAACUAACUAUAUACUCUCUAGACUCCUAUAUACUCUCUAGACUCCACCAAUAACAUUCCUGUUGAACUAACUACAUACUCUCUAAACUCCACCAAUGACAUUCCUGUUGAACUAACUAUAUACUCUCUAAACUG